AUUGAACGCUGGCGGCAUGCCUAACACAUGCAAGUCGAACGAGUGGCGGACGGGUGAGUAAUGUCUGGGAAACUGCCUGAUGGAGGGGGAUAACUACUGGAAACGGUAGCUAAUACCGCAUACGACCGGAUCUGUCCAGAGGGGAUUAGCUAGGAGGUGGGGUAAAGCCUCACCUAGGCGACGAUCCCUAGCUGGUCUGAGAGGAUGACCGGCCACACGGGAACUGAGACACGGUCCAGACUCCUACGGGAGGCAGCAGUGGGGAAUAUUGCACAAUGGGCGCAAGCCUGAUGCAGCCAUGCCGCGUGUAUGAAGAAGGCCUUCGGGUUGUAAAGUACUUUCAGCGGGGAGGCGUUACCCGCAGAAGAAGCACCGGCUAACUCCGUGCCAGCCGCCGCGGUAAUUC
rnacentral:rRNA from 1 species